rnacentral:rRNA from 1 species
GAUUUACUUCGGUAAUGACGUUAGGAAAGCGAGCGGCGGAUGGGUGAGUAACACGUGGGGAACCUGCCCCAUAGUCUGGGAUACCACUUGGAAACAGGUGCUAAUACCGGAUAAGAAAGCAGAUCGCAUGAUCAGCUUUUAAAAGGCGGCGUAAGCUGUCGCUAUGGGAUGGCCCCGCGGUGCAUUAGCUAGUUGGUAAGGUAAAGGCUUACCAAGGCGAUGAUGCAUAGCCGAGUUGGGAGACUGAUCGGCCACAUUGGGACUGAGACACGGCCCAAACUCCUACGGGAGGCAGCAGUAGGGAAUCUUCCACAAUGGACGCAAGUCUGAUGGAGCAACGCCGCGUGAGUGAAGAAGGUUUUCGGAUCGUAAAGCUCUGUUGUUGGUGAAGAAGGAUAGAGGUAGUAACUGGCCUUUAUUUGACGGUAAUCAACCAGAAAGUCACGGCUAACUACGUGCCAGCAGCCGCGGUAAUACGUAGGUGGCAAGCGUUGUCCGGAUUUAUUGGGCGUAAAGCGAGCGCAGGCGGAAGAAUAAGUCUGAUGUGAAAGCCCUCGGCUUAACCGAGGAACUGCAUCGGAAACUGUUUUUCUUGAGUGCAGAAGAGGAGAGUGGAACUCCAUGUGUAGCGGUGGAAUGCGUAGAUAUAUGGAAGAACACCAGUGGCGA